GGUAUGAGGGGGGCGGCGAGUGCGGUAAAACGAGGGGGGGGGGGGUGGUCCGGGGUUGGUGUGGGUAAAGCGCGUGCAGGCGGCUGAGUGCGCAUGGCGGGAAAGCCCCCGGCGUAACGGGGGAGGGUGUUCGUGUACGGGUGAGCGUGAGGGUAUCGGGGGCGGGUGGAAUUCCCGGUGUAGUGGUGAAAUGCGUAGAGAUCGGGAGGAACACCUGUGGCGAAGGCGGCCAGCUGGGAUACACCUGACGCUGAGAUGCGAAGGCGUGGGGAGCGAACGGGAUUAGAUACCCCGGUGGUC
rnacentral:rRNA from 1 species